rnacentral:rRNA from 1 species
GACGAACGCUGGCGGCGUGCCUAAUACAUGCAAGUAGAACGCACAGUUUAUACCGUAGCUUGCUCCACCAUAGACUGUGAGUUGCGAACGGGUGAGUAACGCGUAGGUAACCUGCCUGGUAGCGGGGGAUAACUAUUGGAAACGAUAGCUAAUACCGCAUAAUAUUAAUUAUUGCAUGAUAAUUAAUUGAAAGGUGCAAUUGCACCACUACCAGAUGGACCUGCGUUGUAUUAGCUAGUAGGUGAGGUAACGGCUCACCUAGGCGACGAUACAUAGCCGAACGGAGGGGGGGAUAGGCCACACUGGGACUGAGACACGGCCCAGAACACUACGGGAGGCAGCAGGAGGGAAUCGUCGGCAAUGGACGAAAGGCUGACCGAGCAACGCCGCGUGAGGGAAGAAGGGUUUCGGAUCGUAAAGCUCGGUUGUAAGAGAAGAACGGGUGGGAGAGUGGAAAGUUCACACUGUGACGGUAUCUUACCAGAAAGGGACGGCUAACUACGUG